rnacentral:lncRNA from 1 species
ACACAUCCAUUCCAAACUGACCGGUAUUAGUGAAGGCGCAACUCUAUUUCCUUAAACCCCACCAAAGACAGCGCCACGAGUCGACUCCGACCACAGGCCUCGCCCAAUCCCGGACUCCGACCUGGCCUCGCCAUGGGUUCAGGGACCCCUCAGGUAUAACCCACCUACUAACCAGGCCAUCGCCGUUGGCAGGCGGCAGGACAUGCUGACAGUGACCCUCCCUGUGCUGCUCAGGGACCCCGCGGGUAUGGCCCGCACAGCGGCCGAGUAUGUCCAACAUUCCCCCCCCCCAACCGCGAUGCCUGGGUUUCGAACUCGAGACCUCUGGCUCUGAUACCAGUUAUCAGGAUCAAGCGCUACCAUUACACCAAAACCGACCGGUGUUAGUCCAUACCACCACAUCCAUAAAUUCAAUUAUGCAGGUAUAAGUUAUACACAUACAAGCAUCCAUCACACUACCAACCACAAGCCAACACGAUCAAAAUAUAAUUAAAUAUAAAACUAUUUUGCUUUGUCUGGAUCAUAGCAUAUCAAACAUAUAUAGUGCAAAAAUAUGUAUAUCAUGUAGGAUUGGCGUACAAGGAUUCUUACUGAGAUUGUAGAUUGACACAAACACAGAUUCGGAUCACAACCUACAAGCUGGGGUGCUGAGUCCCCUGGUCAAAAN